UGAGGAAUAUUGGUCAAUGGGCGGGAGCCUGAACCAGCCAAGUAGCGUGAAGGACGACGGCCCUACGGGUUGUAAACUUCUUUUAUAAGGGAAUAAAGUUCGCCACGUGUGGUGUUUUGUAUGUACCUUAUGAAUAAGCAUCGGCUAAUUCCGUGCCAGCAACCGCGGUAAUACGGAAGAUGCGAGCGUUAUCCGGAUUUAUUGGGUUUAAAGGGAGCGUAGGCGGGCUUUUAAGUCAGCGGUCAAAUGUCGUGGCUCAACCAUGUCAAGCCGUUGAAACUGUAAGCCUUGAGUCUGCACAGGGCACAUGGAAUUCGUGGUGUAGCGGUGAAAUGCUUAGAUAUCACGAAGAACUCCGAUCGCGAAGGCAUUGUGCCGGGGCAUAACUGACGCUGAGGCUCGAAAGUGCGGGUAUCAAACAGGAUUAGAUACCCUGGUAGUCCGCACGGUAAACGAUGAAUGCUCGCUAUGGGCGAUAUAUUGUCCGUGGCCAAGCGAAAGCGUUAAGCAUUCCACCUGGGGAGUACGCCGGCAACGGUGAAACUCAAAGGAAUUGACGGGGGCCCGCACAAGCGGAGGAACAUGUGGUUUAAUUCGAUGAUACGCGAGGAACCUUACCCGGGCUUGAAUUGCAGGUGCAUGAGUCAGAGAUGAUUCUUUCCUUCGGGACUCCUGUGAAGGUGCUGCAUGGUUGUCGUCAGCUCGUGCCGUGAGGUGUCGGCUUAAGUGCCAUAACGAGCGCAACCCUUCUCCCCAGUUGCCAUCGGGUAAUGCCGGGCCCUCUGGGGACACUGCCAUCGUAAGAUGCGAGGAAGGUGGGGAUGACGUCAAAUCAGCACGGCCCUUACGUCCGGGGCCACACACGUGUUACAAUGGGGGGUACAGAGGGCCGCUGUCCGGUGACGGUCGGCCAAUCCCUAAAACCCCUCUCAGUUCGGACUGGAGUCUGCAACCCGACUCCACGAAGCUGGAUUCGCUAGUAAUCGCGCAUCAGCCAUGGCGCGGUGAAUACGUUCCC
rnacentral:rRNA from 1 species